GUGGGGAAUCUUGCGCAAUGGGCGAAAGCCUGACGCAGCCAUGCCGCGUGAAUGAUGAAGGUCUUAGGAUUGUAAAAUUCUUUCACCGGGGACGAUAAUGACGGUACCCGGAGAAGAAGCCCCGGCUAACUUCGUGCCAGCAGCCGCGGUAAUACGAAGGGGGCUAGCGUUGCUCGGAAUUACUGGGCGUAAAGGGCGCGUAGGCGGACAGUUUAGUCAGAGGUGAAAGCCCAGGGCUCAACCUUGGAAUUGCCUUUGAUACUGGCUGUCUUGAGUACGGGAGAGGUGAGUGGAACUCCGAGUGUAGAGGUGAAAUUCGUAGAUAUUCGGAAGAACACCAGUGGCGAAGGCGACUCACUGGCCCGUUACUGACACUGAGGUGCGAAAGCGUGGGGAGCAAACAGGAUUAGAAACCCUGGUAGUCC
rnacentral:rRNA from 1 species